rnacentral:misc_RNA from 1 species
UUCGUUGCGCCAUAUAUCGGCCACCGGAAAAUGAAUCGCCGACUCUCACGGCAUGGUAGCCUCCCUUCCGGUAAGAAUCGAAUCCUUCAUCUUCAUCCUCAGACGCCGACGACGAUGAACAAGACAUUGUUAAUCACUGAAUCAAACAAUCGUGAUCUGAAAAUUCCAAAACUACGUUUUCGAAUUUUGUGAGAAAAUAUCAAAACAAAAAUUACAGAGCUCUAUAAUUUUUUGGGGGAAAAGAAAAGUUUGAUAGAGAAGGAGACGGUGCG